rnacentral:rRNA from 1 species
GGGUGAUCGGCCACACUGGGACUGAGACACGGCCCAGACUCCUACGGGAGGCAGCAGUAGGGAAUCUUCGGCAAUGGGGGCAACCCUGACCGAGCAACGCCGCGUGAGUGAAGAAGGUUUUCGGAUCGUAAAGCUCUGUUGUAAGUCAAGAACGGGUGUGAGAGUGGAAAGUUCACACUGUGACGGUAGCUUACCAGAAAGGGACGGCUAACUACGUGCCAGCAGCCGCGGUAAUACGUAGGUCCCGAGCGUUGUCCGGAUUUAUUGGGCGUAAAGCGAGCGCAGGCGGUUUGAUAAGUCUGAAGUUAAAGGCUGUGGCUCAACCAUAGUUCGCUUUGGAAACUGUCAAACUUGAGUGCAGAAGGGGAGAGUGGAAUUCCAUGUGUAGCGGUGAAAUGCGUAGAUAUAUGGAGGAACACCGGUGGCGAAAGCGGCUCUCUGGUCUGUAACUGACGCUGAGGCUCGAAAGCGUGGGGAGCGAACAGGAUUAGAUACCCUGGUAGUCCACGCCGUAAACGAUGAGUGCUAGGUGUUGGAUCCUUUCCGGGAUUCAGUGCCGCAGCUAACGCAUUAAGCACUCCGCCUGGGGAGUACGACCGCAAGGUUGAAACUCAAAGGAAUUGACGGGGGCCCGCACAAGCGGUGGAGCAUGUGGUUUAAUUCGAAGCAACGCGAAGAACCUUA